AUGGCGAGAUCGAUGCUGUCCGUCCAUGAUGCACUCUCUCUUCAUCACGCCAAGAUGAGAUGUUGUCCGUCCGUGAUUCUCUCCCUCUUCAUCGAGAUCAAUAUGCCGCCGCUUGUUUGUGUAUUGGAGCGUCGCUCAUCUACACCAACCAAUGUCCUCGGCUAUUCCGCCGAUGAGGCAUUUACUUCUUCCAAGGUCGCCGUUACUAUCGGCACACUCAUAGAGCCCCUUUUGCAGGCUCGUCAUCAUAUCAACCGGAUCAAUAGUAGAUUCAUCAUCCGAAGGAGGUGCCAAAGCCACGUUUGUUCGGUUAUUGUCUGCACCAACUUCUUCAUCAACAUCUUCGUUACAAGUCCCUGUUGUAUAAGGGACAUGACGAGUCAGGAGGUGCUUAGCCAUGGAUAUCCGGCUGCCAUCUACACCAACUGUCAUCGUCAACUCUUUGUUACUUUGAUCCCAUCAAGUCAGGAGGUGCCCAGCCAUGGAUAUUCGGCUGUUGUGUACACCAACUGACUUGACCAAC
rnacentral:lncRNA from 1 species